rnacentral:rRNA from 1 species
UACAGAGGUCCCAAGCGUUGUUCGGAUUCACUGGGCGUAAAGGGUGCGUAGGCGGUCGGGUAAGUCUGACGUGAAAUCUUCAAGCUCAACUUGGAAACUGCGUCGGAUACUAUCCGGCUAGAGGAAUGGAGGGGAGACUGGAAUACUUGGUGUAGCAGUGAAAUGCGUAGAUAUCAAGUGGAACACCAGUGGCGAAGGCGAGUCUCUGGACAUUUCCUGACGCUGAGGCACGAAAGCCAGGGGAGCAAACGGG